rnacentral:lncRNA from 1 species
AUGUUAUUUAAAGCACCAGAACCUGAAAAGAAAAUUCCUGAAAAGCGAAAGCCAGCAGUUCCUGCACCAGUAGAAGAUAUUAAACUGGCAAAAGAACUACUUAAAGCUCCUGAAACAAGGAAGAAAGUUGUGACAGCAAAACCUGUUGAGGCUCCACAAUUGGAACCCCCACCUGCUAAAGGUACCUACCUAAUAGAAAUAUCUUUAUUCUCUGAGGCAUCUUUUGAAACAAGACUUAUAUCUUUCAGUAUAUUCUUCUUUAAUUUGCUCAGAAAUAUAAACUGGUGCCUUUGUUAGAUUAUACUUCAAGAAUAGACUCUAGUCUUGAAUAGAUAUAGUCCAUGUCCUCAUUAAAUUUCCAUUUUACAAUUCGUGAGAUGCAAAAAAGAUAAUAAUGGAAGAGUAAGAAAGUUUUGUCAUUUGUGUUUAUUCCAGUUCUCUGCUUACAGAGAAAUAAGAAUAUGCUCUUUAAAUGUAUAUAGCAUUGUUCAUCCAUACUUACUAUUUGUCUGAAAUGUAACUUUUUUUGUGAAAAGAUGCUUCCAGAAUUAGCUUGUGAAAGAUAAAUUGAGCAAGACACUUCACAAGUACUCCUUUGCAUUCUUCAUACGUACUAGGGUUCUAAGCAACACCAUAUAAAUAUCUCUUCUUAAUGUUUCUUAAAUUUAGAGAUUAAACUAUGAAUAUCAUAGUACAGGUGAAGGUAAUGAAAGAGUUAAAAUGUAACUAUGAUAACUCUCUUUGAAUACGUAACUCUUCUAGUUUUCUUAGUCCAUACUUCAGUUUUGUUAUUUUGUAUGAAAAUUUACUCUUGUGCAUAGGCCUUUAAGACCACUGUGAACAAAUAAUAUGGGAGGUUGAUUGAAAAUACUGACUUCAAUCUCAGCAAUUAUUUGCUUUGAAUGUUCAGUAGUGGACCAGCACUUUAUUUGUGUGUUUGGAGUUGUUAGUUGUUAGUUAGCUCUUUCUACUGGUAUGAACCUAUAAUAAAAUCUGGAAUAACGUUCUUCUAAGUUCCUGGACUUGUAAAGAAACCUCGUAGAAUAAUUCCUGAAGUUACUCCUCCACCGAAAGAAGAAGUUGUUUUGAAAAGAGGUACAGUAACAAUAUAAAACAGUAUAAAACCCCAGCAUACUAACAUUGUUCAGUGUGUUCUCCUAAGUAAUGUUGCUUUAUGUGGUGUAGAAAAUUACAUGAAUAGUGUACUACCUGAUGGGUGUGUAUCGUGGAAAGAGUUUAUAACUGAAGAGAUAAAGCAAGGGCAUAUCAAAAAUUAGUUAAGUCCAAAGGAACUGUGCUGAAAACAGAGUAGAAUGGUGAAAAUCUGUUUCACUGUUGUAACUCUCUUCUGUUUUCUAUUGUCUAUAAAGCUUAUACAAAAACUCAAUUUUUCAGUAUCUUCAGUUCAUGGACACCUACGUAUUUUCCUGUGAUACUGUAGAUUUUACUAAAAAUCACACGUGGCAUUCUCUUUUAUGAUUUUCUUGGAAUUACUGCACUGCUCCCAAGGUCCAGUGGCACUGUUGGACAUCAUUCUCCUUUCCUGCAAAGUCUUGAGCCUUCCAAAUUACUUUGUGCUCAAAGCUUAAAAAAGAAGUAGUAAUUCCCAUUCUCUUUGAAAUACUGAGUGAUCAUUUGUGCCCUUCAAAUUUUAGACCAUCCAAUUCCACAGAUGUUCAGUUUUUCAGAUGAAUCUCAUUAGAUACCCAAAAUGCAUAUCUGACAGGACAAAAAUAACUAAAAUGUAACCCAGACAAGGUAUAAAUUAGAGCUCUCCAAAUACAACAAUUGAAAAUUAUAGUUUUCUUCUCUGAUGGAAGUCAGUAGAUAUUUAAUCCAGAAUCCUUCAUUUUGUCCCUGAAAAUCACCUAUAACUUAAGUUAUUAAUGCAUAAUUGUGUGGUAAUUGAUCAUUAAAUUGUAAUAGAUGCACUUUUUCUCUCAGAAGAAAACACGAGACUGACAGAUGUCAUUCAAAUGUUGUAUAUGGACACUUAUCUGCUAACUAAAUCCUCACAGAAUUAAUCCAAUAUUCACUCACCAUAGAUGCAAAGAUACAUUAAGAACAGUUCCUAAAAUGUGCUGAAAAGAAAGCGCUAAGAAAUUGCAGUGAUGUUAUUUAAUCUAGUAGGACAUUUUGAAUUUCAUAUUGGAUAUUUGUAGAUUAAAAAUAGCUUGACAUGAAAAGCUGUUGUUAACUAACAUGCUUGAUGAAUAUUGUGUAAAUAGAUAAUAUUAUUUUAAAAUAUAUUUUAUCUUCCAUUAUUCUCCUGAAAUACCUACCCAUCAUAUCUUUUCCAUGAAAAUUCUAUGAUAAGAAAUCGUAUUCUGUCAUAGACAGUUAACAUCUUUCUACUCAAAGAGAUUGAUCUUAAAGCAUCUUUUUGCUCUAGGUUAUUUUUAACUGCUUUCAGAAUAGUAUUGUACUGUGUAUUUCAUAUGCCUAUUUCUUCACCAAUUGUAUAUGUUUAGUCUUUUGUCUUACUCACUAUCUAUCUUAUUCAUUUGUUUACCUGUGCUUUAAAAACUGAAAUUACUUUUCUUUUAAAGUUCUUAGAAAGAAACCAGAAGAGGAAGAACCUAAACCAGAGAAAGAACCUAAACCUGAAGUUAAACCAGUACCUACACCAGUAGAAAAAAUUAAGAAACCUGAAGGUACUAGCUUACAUUCAAAUCUGUCUGGUAGAAAAGUUUUGUGGAAAAGAAAAAACAACAAAAAAUUUAAAAAAUAUUCUCUGCAACUCAGAGUUCCAAAAUUCUCUGAAUUUUAAAAUUCAGGUUUGAAUAGAUGAGCUUCAUAAAUGUAGUUUUGUGAAUCAGAGCUUUGCUGGAAGCACCACCAAAUUUGGCAUGCACAUUGGGAUCUGAAUUCUACAAUGUGUGAUUACUUGUCAAUCUGAGUGUAGAAGAGAAAUUUACAAGUAUACUGUAAAACUGAUUGAAAAAGCUGCAGUGAACUGGUUGAUCCAAAUAUUCUUUUAGCCAAGGUCUUCAAAUAUGUGUCCUUUUGUCCAUUUUACUGCUUCUAAUUUAUUCAAAUCCUAGCCUUAAAAAUACAUGUUCUUAAAACUUAAUGUCUCAAAGUCUUGAAAUCUGAAAAGAGUGAAAACUUAAUUAUAUUGGAGAGUGAGGUAUCUGGAGAUCCAAGGUGUUUCAGUGUAUCUUACAAAAUAAUGUUUUAAAGUCUCAGAAGUUCCCAAGAAGAAACCUGAGAUACCUGUCAUUAAAAAGGAGGAGAAACAUGUUCCUGAACCACCAAAAGGUACAGAUGUGUGAUGCUAUUUUUCUUAUUGCAGCAACUAAAUUAUAUUAAUUGCUGCAUUUCAUUUAAACUAAUGCACUGUUGCCAUCCCCUCUGUCCAUGACUAUUGGAUAUGUGUUAACUACUUUGCAUUCUUCAGGAUUUCUUUUUGUUUUUGAUUCUUUAGUGCUUGAAAAAUUCAUCUUUUUUUUCUAUUUUAUCUUGCUUUUAAAGAGUUCAUCUCAAGUAAAUUUCUUGCUUGCUGGCAAAAUUGGUUGGAAACAAUUAAUUAAGUCUGUCCUCCAUUAACUCUGUCUGUAUUGUGGCUUGUAAAUUUUAUGUCCAAUGAGAAUAUAAAUUAUAUAAAUUAACCUAUUUGUGAUUGUUGUGUUUCAAAUGCCAGAACCUAAGCAGGCAGCUAUCUCAGUUCCUGGGCCUGAACCUAAACCUGCCGUAGGUAAGACUUCUUUAGCCAUGAAUACCAGUGCAACCUUACUUGUACAUCUUAUCUUUUUCAUUUAGAGUUUUUUCCUUAAAAUGACAUUAAAAAUACAUGUCAGCUUUAGUACUGUAAAGACAUGCACUCUGCAGAAUAUCUUAGAGAAUUAGAGAAUAUCAUGCUUAAAACAAAAGUAUUCAUUGAAAUAAAUAAAUGAGAGCUCCUUUAUAAUUUUUGUCCUACAGCUUUAAAAUCUCCAAAGCCAGCAGCAGAACCAGCACCAGCUAUUACUACUGCACCAGUGACAACUCCUGUUGUUGGAAAGAAAGCAGGUAUUUAUGAUAGUUCUAUGCUACUUGUAGGGUUUUUCUCUAUAAGAUAACUAAAUACAUGAAAGAUAAAGACAAUUAAGAGCUGUACAAUCAUAUAACUCAUUCAUUACCAGGUAAUUUUAGAUCCUGUCCCAGGAUCCUGAUAUCCUUGAUACUACCACCUGAUGUGAAGUUUAUCUCUGUGGAAUUCCACUGAGAUGAAUCUGUACUAUUGUUUCUGGAUUGUGAAAUGUAUGCUUGUAUUUUUUUUUUUCCUACUAUGAAGUUUGUGUAUUCUGUUUAUU